CUCGUUGUGAUGUUUCAGAACUUUCGACUUGUUGAGACGUUGAUGCAUCAUUCGGUUGAUCAUCGGGAAAUGGACAUGUACCAAUAGGAAUGUCUUCUUGCGUACAACUUAUAAUGGCUUCCAUGUCUGAUUUCCAUUUAGAUAAUUUCUGUAGCGUAUUCUUAUUUUGUUCAUCCACAUAAUAUCGUAUGAAAUCUAAACUGGUAUUUACAUAAGAGUGCAUGGUCUGAUAAUGGUCUUCUUUCCAUUUUUGUUGUUGUUGGAAUAAUUGUUGCUCUUUCUCCAAAUGUGUGUUAAAAAAGUUGAUAAUGAGUUAUCCAUGUAGGAACGUAUAGUAGAUUGCAUAUAAUCCUC
rnacentral:lncRNA from 1 species